rnacentral:tmRNA from 1 species
GGGGAUGAAUAGUUCGACGGGAUGGCUCUUUAAAAACUGCAAGCCGAGAUGAUUGCUCCUCGUAACAAUCAAUCAAAAUAUAAAUGCUGAUGAAUCCAUUAGCGAUCUAAAAGCAAGAGUUGAUGCAAUGUUUGCUCGAGCUUUUGGAGCCAACGUACAAUUUGCGCAAGCACGAUUGUACGCUUAAGGCCAUCUAUAUUGUCUUUUCUCGAUGGGAUGAUAUAGGUGUAAUACAGUCGGGAUGCUAAUAAGGGAGGUUGAUCUUCUUACUUAUUCUAAGACAAUAGAUCUAGAAAAGAUUUUCUUGUCAAUUUAAUCGGUCUUUUCGAAAUAAAGAAUUGACUAAGCUUGUAGACGUUUUUAAUCCGCUUUCUCGGACGGGAGUUCAACACUCCCCAUCUCCACAU